UACGGAGGGGGCUAGCGUUGUUCGGAAUUACUGGGCGUAAAGCGUGCGUAGGCGGACCUGCAAGUCGGGGGUGAAAGCCCGAGGCUCAACCUCGGAACUGCCUUCGAUACUGCGGGUCUCGAGUCCGGGAGAGGUGAGUGGAAUUCCUAGUGUAGAGGUGAAAUUCGUAGAUAUUAGGAAGAACACCAGUGGCGAAGGCGGCUCACUGGCCCGGUACUGACGCUGAGGCGCGAAAGCGUGGGGAGCAAACAGG
rnacentral:rRNA from 1 species